rnacentral:misc_RNA from 1 species
AGAUAACUGUUUAAUUUAGCUCACGUCGGUGAAUCACGCGCAUGCGUUGUUAGGAUUAGCGGCCAUUUUGGAAAAACGAAGAACUUACGACAGUAACAGAUGAAUAUAUCGUAGUUUUCUCAGUUAUUCAAGACUUAUCCUGUAGAAAUCACGUUAACAUGUCGAGGAGAGGUGACCUGGACUGUAAGAUAUACGUUGGAGACCUAGCGCGGGAUACAAAUGAGAAAGACGUAGAAAGAGCAUUCAGCUACUAUGGAAGGUUAAGAAGUGUUUGGGUGGCCAGAAAUCCAGCAGGGUUUGCUUUUGUUGAGUUUGAAGAUCCACGAGAUGCUGAGGAUGCUGUCAGGGGUCUAGAUGGAACGAAUCUCCAGGGGUCUCGCAUUAGAGUGGAGCAUUCUACAGGAAAAGUACGGCCAAAACCUUGGCUGCGUGGUGGCCGCGGGGGUAGAGGAGGAGGCCGACGACCAUUCCAUCCAGACGAUAGAUGUUACGAGUGCGGCGAGUCUGGGCAUUAUGCCUAUGAUUGUCCUAGACACAGAAGUCGAGGCAGCAGGAGACACUCAAGAUUUCUGUCUCAAAUGUCAACAAAAUUGAUCUGCAUCAAAAGAGAGCUUGAAAUGUUUCCACACUCUUUGAUAAGCGUCCCUGUGACUUGAUCUUCACGAUAGAUCAUCCAUCACUCGAGUCCGCACAAAGAUCACAUCGCUCUUUGAGUAUUGAUCGGCCAACAUUGAAUCAUCUCAAAUAGUACUGCAUUAGACUAAGAACACCAACCAUCUUACAUAGCCUGUAAACAUCGUCCUUCGAACAUCUCGAGCCGACACCUGUCAACUUUGAGAUCAGCAUUGGCUUGUGUGUAUGAUCUCAACUCGGGAGUAGAAUUUAUAUAUCAACAUGCAGCAUUUAAUCAGCAAUUUGCGAAUUGAAUCUUUGAAAUGUUUAUCUCCUUCGUAAAAAAAAUUAGAAUCAGAAUGGGUGAACCCGUUGUCACCUACAUUGCAUCUGAGUCACCGAUCAGUAAGAGAAGCCUCUGUGAAAUUCAGCUCAACUCUUCUUUGAUUUGAGACACUCUGUUCAACAUUAACAUGCUUGAUCAACAAAUGUUCAACUUCACAGCUUUGUUUGAAAGCGUCUCGCAGCAGGUCAAGGUCCCGUGGGAGGAGAAGUUACACUCGCAGCAGAAGCAGGAGCCGUGACAACAGACGAGGAGGUCGUUCCCCAUCCAGGUCGAGAUCACGGAGCGGCGGAAGAAACGACAAUUAGAACUACAUC